UACGGAGGGGGCUAGCGUUGUUCGGAAUUACUGGGCGUAAAGCGCAUGCAGGCGGAUUGUUAAGUCGGGGGUGAAAUCCCGAGGCUCAACCUCGGAACUGCCUUCGAUACUGGCAAUCUUGAGUCCGGGAGAGGUGAGUGGAACUGCGAGUGUAGAGGUGAAAUUCGUAGAUAUUCGCAAGAACACCAGUGGCGAAGGCGGCUCACUGGCCCGGUACUGACGCUGAGGUGCGAAAGCGUGGGGAGCAAACAGG
rnacentral:rRNA from 1 species